rnacentral:rRNA from 1 species
CCUACGAGAGGCAGCAGUGGGGAAUAUUGCACAAUGGGGGAAACACUGAUGCAGCGACGCCGCGUGAGAGAGGAAGUAUUACGGUAUGUAAAGCUCUAUCAGCAGGGACGAAAAAAGACGGUACCUGACUAAGAAGCCCAGGCUAACUACGUGACAGCAGCCGCGGUAAUACGUAGGGGGCAAGCGUUAGCCGGAUUUAAUGGGUGUAAAGGGAGCGUAGACGGCCAGGCAAGGCAGAAGUGAAAGGGCAGGGCUCCACCCUGGACAUGCUUUUGGAACUGUGGUGCUAGAGUGCAGGAGAGGUAAGUGGAUUUCCUCGUGUCGCGGUGAUCUGCGUAGAUCUUAGGAGGAACUCCAGUUGC